rnacentral:rRNA from 1 species
UACGAAGGGGGCUAGCGUUGCUCGGAAUCACUGGGCGUAAAGCGCACGUAGGCGGAUCGUUAAGUCAGGGGUGAAAUCCUGGAGCUCAACUCCAGAACUGCCUUCGAUACUGAAGAGCUCGAGUCCGGGAGAGGUGAGUGGAACUGCGAGUGUAGAGGUGAAAUUCGUAGAUAUUCGCAAGAACACCAGUGGCGAAGGCGGCUCACUGGCCCGGUACUGACGCUGAGGUGCGAAAGCGUGGGGAGCAAACAGG